rnacentral:misc_RNA from 1 species
GAUGAAGAACGUAGCGAAAUGCGAUAAGUAGUGUGAAUUGCAGAAUUUAGUGAAUCAUCGAAUCUUUGAACGCACAUUGCGCCCUUUGGUAUUCCUUAGGGCAUGCCUGUUCGAGCGUCAUCUACACCCUCAAGCACAGCUUGGUGAUGGGCGCCUGUCCCGCCCCCCACGGGGGCGCGGACUCGCCUCAAAUGCAUUGGCGGCCGGCGACCUGGCUUCGAGCGCAGCAGAAACGCGUACUCGGGGACCGGGCGCCCGCUCCCAGAAGCCAACCCACCCAGUUUGACCUCGGAUCAGGUAGGGAUACCCGCUGAACUUAAGCAUAUCAAUAAGCGGGA